CGUCGGCCCCGCGAACGACUAAACGAGCGGCAACUUGGCCGCGGAGGAGGCGUGUUGUUCCAAAGAAGGGCGAACGGGCUUGGAUGGUUUUAGAGCCGAUCCGGAUAGUCCGUCAUAGCGCCACGGCGAACGAGUAGUACCCAUUUCCAUCGGCCGUGGCACGCCAGUUAUCAAUAACCUACGCCGUUCCUAGGGCGACCUUCGCAUAGACCAGAGGAUGGCGUUCGUGAGGAUUCGCUGGUAGCGGGCAUCUUGCCAAACCGACGGCUCGUGGCCGAGCGCUGUAUAGAAUACCCGGCCCUCGCCAUAGAAUCGCGUCCAUGCGAGAGGCCAACCAUAGAA
rnacentral:misc_RNA from 1 species